GGAGCAAAGGAGGGGGCAGGGCGGCCAGGGCCCGGCUGCCUGUGGGGUAGGGAAGGCGGGCUGGGGAUCCUGGGGUUUUUCCUCUGACAGAAGGAAAAGCAGC